rnacentral:rRNA from 1 species
UACGAGAGGCCCAAACGUUAUUCGGAUUUACUGGGCUUAAAGAGUUCGUAGGCGGCGCAGAAAGUAGGGUGUGGAAGCCCUCGGCUCAACCGAGGAAUUGCGCUCUAAACUACUGCGCUCGAGGAACCUAGAGGUGAGCAGAACUGAUGGUGGAGCGGUGAAAUGCGUUGAUAUCAUCAGGAAUACCGGAGGCGAAGGCGGCUCACUGGGGGUUUUCUGACGCUGAGGAACGAAAGCCAGGGGAGCGAACGGG